rnacentral:lncRNA from 1 species
GUGAAUUGUAAGUGAAAUAAUCUGUCUGUGAACAAUUGUUGAAAAAUGACUUGUCAUGCACAAAGUAGAUGUCCUAACCGACUUGCCAAAACUAUAGUUUUGUUAACAAGAAAUGUGUGGAGUGGUUGAAAAACGAGUUUUAAUGACUCCAACCUAAGUGUAUGUAAACUUCUGACUUCAACUGUACAGGGUGCAUGCAUCUUUCUCAUUGGCUGUUCAUGACAGGUGAAUUGAGUUGAUAAAACAUUUUGACCAGGAUGUUCUUUUAAGAUGCUGUGAGACGUGUAGUCGUGGAUAUGUAUCAAAUUGCAACUGAGGUGCCCAGAACAGUAGCUAUUCAGUGUCACUACAGCACCCAGGUGGAAUUCCAGUUGGCUGAUGGCUACAAAAAUAAGAGCUUACAAUGUUAGAAAUGCAUUGCAAAGAGCUAAGCACCAGAUAUCAAGCUUAAAAAAGGAGCUCUCGGUGAAGAAGAGCUGCUUCUCUGAGAGUGAAGAGGAACGCAGUCUGUCAUGGACACACAGCAAGGAACUCAAAGACUCCCUCGUUGAUAUGUACAAAGCUAAUCCUAAAGUCAAUGAGGAGCUGAAACAAAGACUGCCCUCCCCAGUAAGGCACCAACGCUCAGAGACCACGCUGCCACAACUUGGAAGUGCUGACUUGGGAGCCAUUUUGGGCACAACAUCAAAUCAACUUGUACUAGAGGAACCUGACAAAGACUGGCCACAAGUCCCCCAGUAUUUUAGACCCAUAGAGGAAGAGAGUCGGACAUCCAGAUCUCCAUCACCCCAGGCCCACCACAGGAGAUCUCCAUCACCUCAGGCCCACCACAGGGCUCCAGACACAGGCAGGAGGAUGGAGGAGGAGAGGACCUCCAGCCGGAGCCCAUUCACCCAGGACGGCUACAGGUCAGAGGGUCACAGCCAGGGGUCGAACGGCAGUCCUCCAGUCUACAGAAGACACCUCGUCCCUCCAGACUCCAGCCAAGCUCUCCAAUCAAGUAUAAAAGAAGACCAAGGAAACAUUAAAGUUAGCAGUAGUUCCUUUGACUCCAAAAAGCAAAGCCUCGUCCUUGACAAAGAGAAGAAUAUUGCCUUCCUGCUGAAGGAGCUGGAUUCACUCAGAGAGCUCAAUAAGAAGGUAGGUUGAAAUGUUAAAGGAAUCUUGCCCUGCUAGAUACAGGUCCUAGCAAAAAUACAUGGCAUUUGUGGUUCCAGCUUUUUUUUUCACUCAAAUGUCCUUUGUCGUAACUUGUCCUCUUCCUCUUUAAAUAGAUGAUUGUGUUGUGUCUGUCACAGCUGCCAACUAUUGAGUGUCCACCUCUCUUGUCCACCUCUAUCUUACCUGCCAUGUCCAAAGCAUAUGACUAGCUGGUUAUCCUGUCCUGUCCUGUGUUUGGUCUGGAGCAUGCCCAGUGUCCCUCUGUGCACAGGCUGCCUUCUUGCAAAUGAGCGCCUGUUAGAGAGGGUGUAGCCACAGAGAGGCCCUCUGAAAUGGCUAUAAUUGAUGCCUCUGGUUUGCAAGUAGCUGUGAC